UACAGAGACCUCAAGCGUUAUCCGGAAUCAUUGGGCGUAAAGCGUACCGAUAGGUGGUUUUGGUAGUUUUGGGUAAAAGCCAGAAGCUCAACUUCUGCGUUUGCUCAAAAUACUCCAUGACUAGAGGGAGAAAGAGGUUGCUGGAACAAACGGUGUAGUAGUGAAAUGCGUUGAUAUCGUUUGGAACACCGAAAGCGAAGGCAGGCAACUGGGUCUCACCUGACACUGCUAGGACGAAAAGCGUGGGGAGCGAAUGGG
rnacentral:rRNA from 1 species